UGGAAAUUUAAUAUAGAGAACAGUCU
rnacentral:piRNA from 1 species